AGGAUGAAGGGGUGAAUUCUGUUGCCAAUGUGGGCUGUGUGGACACAUCAGCAGUAUCUGGGAUGGAAAGGACUGUUCUGAAAAAGCCAGAGAAACCUGCCAGCUGAAUUUGACCACUGAGGCCAUGGAUUCUCUUUAAAACAAGCAUGGCAA